GUUUUUAGUCUUUUAAUACAGUGCCCUUGGUCGUUAUCAUGAAAAUACUGCUUUUUGCUCUCACCUUUUCCCAUUUAACUUUAAUUAUCUUAAUAUGAGUGUCUUAAUCAUGUUUAUCUGCUUUUAAAUUCAUCAUUUGUCACAUUUUGGAUCCCUACGAUUUUUAAACUCAUGUGCUCCAAGUAUUAAUUGUUUUUAAACGUAUAUUUAUAUCCUAUAACAGUAGGAAAUUGUAUUUUAAUCCUAGAAUUAAGUACCUCUUAUAAAAAUCAUGUGUUUAAGAAUAUAUGGAGAGAAAGAAGUAUUUUAUCAUAAACCGUGAUUCACUGUAGUUUUCGAGAGGUCCGGUGUUUAAUCAUCCGCUCACAUUUAAGUUCCACAAUUAUAUUAAUCAAUAACAGAAGUAAAUUUAUCCAUUCAACUGUGUAUUAUUUACUCUACUUCAUCUGAAUUGCUCUACAUUUCCUCUAAAACCGAUAUAUAAAUGUAUAUCCGUUUGUACACAGCAAGAAACCAACACUACAUUGGAACUUAUCUCAUAAUAUACUUUAUGUAACAAAAUAGAAUUUAGUUGUCCAUCACAAUAUACCCUUCAGUGUGAAGAGGGAAUGUGCGGGCCAGGGCCGCAGGACUCCGCCCCACAGAUCCCACAGGCCCAUAGGCGAGGUACUGGCUGUGUUAGGAACGAAUGAGAUCCAGAAGCUGAAACAUAGUUCAACAUCGGUACAUGCACUGUCCUUCUUAUACUCCUAAUGGCCACCUGUUUUCACCGCUCGAGCAGAGCCCCACAGCCCAGGCCCACAACAACCCCCCGGAAAAGAGAAAUCCUUUUUAAAUUCAUUAUUUAUAAUACAAUAGAUGUAAUGGAUAGGGUUAGAAUAUAUAGGUUUCAAACGAUCAGGGGUAGAAUGAGUAGGUUUAGAUGUAGUGUGGUUAACUUGGUUAAGUUUAGGUGUAGUAUAGUUAGCUUUGUUAGGUUUAGGUGUAGUGAAGUUAACUUGGUUAAGUUUAGGUGUAGUGAAGUUAACUUGGUUAAGUUUAGGUGUAGCAAAGUUAACUUGGUUAAGUUUAGGUGUAGCAAAGUUAACUUGGUUAAGUUUAGGUGUAGUAUAGUUAACUUGGUUAAGUUUAGGUGUAGUAUAGUUAGCUUCGUUAGGUUUAGGUGUAGUAUAGUUAACUUGGUUAAGUUUAGGUGUAGUAUAGUUAACUUGGUUAAGUUUAGGUGUAGUAUAGUUAGCUUCGUUAGGUUUAGAUGUAGUGUAAAAGAGUAAAAUAUAGAAAGAAGAGGAAAUAUAAAAAAUAUAUAAUAUAUAUAUAAAGAGAGAGCAAUUCAGAUUUACUGUUUUCUGCCUUACAGGUGUAUUCACCAAUGUCAGAUUUGGCAACUUUAGCUAGUUUCAGGCAGGCAGUGCCUUUGAAGAACUCCAUCUUACAGGUUGGAGAAGACCGCACUUUACCAUCUGCCUUGAAAUGAGUAUGCUGAUAAAUUCUCUUUCUAAGUUCAUUCUUCGUCUGUCCCACGUAUUGUCUCUUGCACUUAUUGCAAAAGAUCAUAUAUACACAGUUGGCGGUUUCCACUGAAGUAUUUGAAUCAACCUGAAAGAUCUGUUUACUGGUCCUAUUCUUUACCCAUCUCAAGUGCACAUAAUAUUUACACGAUCCUGCUUUGGGAUUCAUAUUGGUAUUAAGACUUUGUAUUUUGCUUUGUACUAAAAUAUCCAAUAGAUUUUUAUUUCUUUUAUAGGCCGCAAUUGGUUUGUGAUUCUGUAAAUGAGAAGUCUCUUUCAAAAACUCAGUAAAAUUUUGUUUAGUAGCCCAAUUUAGUUGUGUGCUUUGAGAUGAGUAAAAGGUGACCAAAGGUAUAAUUUUCUCUUCCGUAUUUUGAGCUGGCAGUGCAGGUUUCUCGAUGUAAUCUUUGAAUUCUCUUAAGACAUUUCUCAGAAACGGUCUCGUAUAGCCUCUGUGUUUGAGUGCUUUAAAUAAAAUUUUGACCGCUUUUAAAAAUUCUUCUUUCUGUGAGCAUAUACGGUGGAAUCUCAACAAUUGUGAUUUAAGUAUCCCUUUGAAAGUGUGUCUCGGGUGGAAACUACUCCUAUGUAAUAGGCAAUGUGUAUCCGUCUCCUUAAAGUAGACCUUAUAGUCUAGUUGGUUGCUCUGUUGAAAUUUAGGUCCUUUAUAAGUCACUACAUCUAAAAAAUUGACUCUUUCACUGUCCAACUCAAAUUUUAUUUUAAUAGAUCUUUCAUGUUGAUUCAAGUGCUCAGUAAAUUUUAUGAAAUCCUCUUUCGAGUACGUCCACACUCCCCAGAUGUCAUCUAAAAAUCUGAAAUACGAAAACGGUUUAAGUGGUGCCG
rnacentral:lncRNA from 1 species